CCCUUUGUCCUUUAAGCUAGAAUUGUUUACACCCUCAGGGGGACCACGUCACUAGUUCUAAAGCAUUGGCGCACUGAACCCACUCCAAAACGCGCGCGCGUGAAAGACACUCUGAUAGAGUUGUUGGCAAAAAAAAUAUCUAAACCAAUUGGGACCAUGAGGUGUAGCAAAAAGAAGAUAGAACCAGAGCCAUGUGGGAUCCCAUCUCAUGAACCAAGGAAAUAUCAAAGCCGUCCUGAUUCGAGCCACGACACCCCCGCUCCGUCACUGUAAAUUGUCAAAGGCAUCCAUUGUAUAUUACGGUUCUACCCCAUAACUUUGUUUAGAAAAAAAGAUAAAAAGAAACACAGCUAAAGUGGUAAGGCAGCAAAACAAACCCAGCUCAGCCAUUUGCCCCUCAUAUAUUCCCUCUCUGCCUGCUUCUCCUUUUUUCAGCUCAGAAAGAAGGAAACCUUUUCUCCAGCAGAGAAACAAAGGGUCAGUUUCUAUCUUUUUGAUGAAAUGGAGGCUGACAGUAAUCCUAAAAUAGUUGCGCCAUUCGUUGCGAAAACUUACCAGAUGGUUAAUGAUCCCAUGACUGACGGUUUGAUCACAUGGGGUAAAGCUAAUAACAGUUUCAUAGUCAUCGACCCUUUAGAUUUCUCUCAAAGGAUCUUGCCUGUUUACUUCAAGCAUAGCAAUUUUUCUAGCUUCGUUCGCCAGC
rnacentral:lncRNA from 1 species